UACGGGGGGAGCAAGCGUUGUUCGGAUUUACUGGGCGUAAAGAGCGCGCAGGCGGUCGAUCAAGUCGAGUGUGAAAGCCCCCGGCUCAACUGGGGAGGGUCAUUCGAUACUGAUCGACUCGAAGGCAGGAGAGGGUAGUGGAAUUCCCGGUGUAGUGGUGAAAUGCGUAGAUAUCGGGAGGAACACCAGUGGCGAAGGCGACUACCUGGCCUGUUCUUGACGCUGAGGCGCGAAAGCUAGGGAAGCAAACGGG
rnacentral:rRNA from 1 species